AGUUAAAUCCAUGAAAGGCAAUAUGUUUUGAAAGCAUAUAAAAAGGAGUUAAAAUCUCCUAUUAACUU
rnacentral:tRNA from 1 species